UAAAAAACUUUGUUAAAUAAUUCAUCCCCCUGCUAAUUUAAGAUGCUGGUUUUGUCAUAAGCAAUAAUCCAUAUAAAUAAUUGGGUCUGUCCCUAAACUUUCUGAUGUCAUAUCCUUCUUAGUGCCUCAAACUAGAUCCUGUUCAGACAUUUUAUGACAAGUUAGCAUAAGUUUAUUCUGAUGCAAAAAACCCCUGAAAUCUAUGCAUAGGUUUUUCAAAAUACACAUUUUCCAUAAACUUUUUGAAGACCCCUAUUAUUUCUGUAUUUGUUUAACCA
rnacentral:lncRNA from 1 species